GUGGGGAAUCUUAGACAAUGGGGGAAACCCUGAUCUAGCCAUGCCGCGUGAGCGAUGAAGGCCUUAGGGUUGUAAAGCUCUUUCAGCUGGGAAGAUAAUGACUGUACCAGCAGAAGAAGCCCCGGCUAACUCCGUGCCAGCAGCCGCGGUAAUACGGAGGGGUCUAGCGUUGUUCGUAAUUACUGGGCGUAAAGCGCACGUAGUAGGACCGGAAAGUCAGAGGUGAAAUCCCAGGGCUCAACCUUGGAACUGCCUUUGAAACUCGUGGUCUUGAGGGCGAGAGAGGUGAGUGGAAUUCCGAGUGUAGAGGUGAAAUUCGUAGAUAUUCGGAGGAACACCAGUGGCGAAGGCGGCUCACUGGCUCGAUACUGACGCUGAGGUGCGAAAGCGUGGGGAGCAAUCAGGAUUAGAUACCCGGGUAGUCC
rnacentral:rRNA from 1 species